GAUGAAGAACGUAGCGAAAUGCGAUAAGUAGUGUGAAUUGCAGAAUUCAGUGAAUCAUCGAAUCUUUGAACGCACAUUGCGCCCCUUGGUAUUCCAUGGGGCAUGCCUGUUCGAGCGUCAUUUGUACCUUCAAGCUUUGCUUGGUGUUGGGUGUUUGUCUCGCCUUUGCGUGUAGACUCGCCUUAAAAUAAUUGGCAGCCGGCGUAUUGAUUUCGGAGCGCAGUACAUCUCGCGCUUUGCACUCAUAACGACAGCGUCCAAAAGUACAUUUUACACUCUUGACCUCGGAUCAGGUAGGGAUACCCGCUGAACUUAAGCAUAUCAAAGCGAGGA
rnacentral:misc_RNA from 1 species